GAGUUUGUCGGUUGGUCGGGCUUUACUGUCCGCGCUGGCCUGAUGGAUUCCUACCUUCUGAAUAACCAGCAUGCUAUUAAGUUAGUGCGUUGGGGAAGCAGAGCUAUUACCUUAAAAAAUUUAGAGUGCUUAAAGCAGGCUUUUGCUUGAAUAGAUUAGCAUGGAAUAAUAAAAUAGGACGGCAUGGUUCUAUUUUGUUGGUUUCUAGGAUCGACGUA
rnacentral:rRNA from 1 species